rnacentral:rRNA from 1 species
UACGUAGGGUGCGAGCGUUAAUCGGAAUUACUGGGCGUAAAGCGUGCGCAGGCGGUUGUGUAAGACAGGUGUGAAAUCCCCGGGCUUAACCUGGGAACUGCGCUUGUGACUGCACGGCUAGAGUACGGCAGAGGGGGGGUGGAAUUCCAGCGUGUAGCAGUGAAAUGCGUAGAGAUGUGGAGGAACACCGAUGGCGAAGGCAGCCCCCUGGGCCGAUACUGACGCCUCGAUGCACGAAAGCGUGGG